CUUGAGGGGAGGGGGAUUCCUCAGCCUGGAUUGUGAGAGGGUGCAGGCCAAGCUGAGGGACCCCACCUGUGCACA
rnacentral:pre_miRNA from 1 species